rnacentral:rRNA from 1 species
GAUGAACGCUGGCGGAGGGCAGAAUACAGGCAAGUCGAGCGAACGGACGAGAAGCUUGCUUCUCUGAUGUUAGCGGCGGACGGGUGAGUAACACGUGGAUAACCUACCUAUAAGACUGGGAUAACUUCGGGAAACCGUAGCUAAUACCGGAUAAUAUUUUGAACCGCAUGGUUCAAAAGUGAAAGACGGUCUUGCUGUCACUUAUAGAUGGAUCCGCGCUGCAUUAGCUAGUUGGUAAGGUAACGGCUUACCAAGGCAACGAUGCAUAGCCGACCUGAGAGGGUGAUCGGCCACACUGGAACUGAGACACGGUCCAGACUCCUACGGGAGGCAGCAGUAGGGAAUCUUCCGCAAUGGGCGAAAGCCUGACGGAGCAACGCCGCGUGAGUGAUGAAGGUCUUCGGAUCGUAAAACUCUGUUAUUAGGGAAGAACAUAUGUGUAAGUAACUGUGCACAUCUUGACGGUACCUAAUCAGAAAGCCACGGCUAACUACGUG